CAUCUUUUCAAUAAAUCUGAAUGUUCAUUUAUGAAAGUCUCUUUCUGUAACAUAUACAUGUGUUUUCUAUAGCAAAAUCUAACCAAAUAGAAAUUCUACUGAAAAUAACAUGAUUUAAAGUUAAAUUUGUAAAAUACUUUCAGCGGUUAACAGUUUUAUUUUUUUCAAUAGUACCGAGUGGCUUAAUAGACACAAAGGAAUUAAAGAUCUUGCACAGAAAUAUUUUAAUGUCUAAGAAAAAUGUGUAGUCAGUAAUCAUUUUUUGCUACAAAUAGCUUGGUUCCCAGAAAAUUCUGCAUAGUAAAUUAUUUUAAAAACCAUAUUUCUCUGAAGAAAAAAUAAUCUUGAUUGCAAUUUUAAUUGAGUAAUCCAGGUAUUAACCCUGAGAGGCCAAUAUAGUUUAAAAAAAUCAAAAUUAGUAAGUUAUUAAAAAACUACCACAAAUUUUCUUAAUCUUCAUAUUUAAGAUAGGAAAAUUACACAAGUACAAAUUUAAAAACUUAUAUGACUGCAUUUAAAGUUCAGUGAACAGAAAUAAGACUUGCUCAGAAUCAUACAGAAAGUCAGCUAUGAAAUCAACAGCAUUAAGUUUCUAUAUGGCAUGCAAUGUCCCUUCAAUUUUACCACAAUUUCCCUCUUAAAAGUGCCAUGGUACAGAUGUUAGUAUAUCAUCAUACAAAAA